UACGUAGGGUCCGAGCGUUGUCCGGAAUUACUGGGCGUAAAGAGCUCGUAGGUGGUUUGUCGCGUUGUUCGUGAAAACUCACAACUCAAUUGUGGGCGUGCGGGCGAUACGGGCAGACUGGAGUACUGCAGGCGAGACUGGAAUUCCUGGUGUAGCGGUGGAAUGCGCAGAUAUCAGGAGGAACACCGGUGGCGAAGGCGGUUCUCUGGGCAUUACCUGACGCUGAGGAGCGAAAGUGUGGGGAGCGAACAGG
rnacentral:rRNA from 1 species